rnacentral:lncRNA from 1 species
AGUCACUCCACAGGGGAAGAGCAAAGUCUGGCAAUAUUUUCUAUUCAGAAAUUAAAUCUGUUUCAGCUGUGAAGUUGAUAACAAUCAUGUGCACAAGGUUACAUAAGAUGCCAUUGGUCUCAUUCACUUUUUGUCUGCUCUAUGGGUUUAGAAGCCUUCAUUUGGGGUUAGCAGGGAAGGGGUUAAGUCCUCCUCUUGAGCUUAUGAGGGACCACAGCUGCAUGCAUGCCCUCAGCACAGAGCAGGGGGUGCUGGGGCAGGGACAGCUGCCAUUAAUUAAGGGAUUCCCUUACACACCACAAAAUGAUUUUUCUCCAGCAGCCCUGUUUGGCUGAACUGUGGUGUGUGGAGGCUGAAUUCGGUAAGGAUUUAAAGCAGAGAGAAAAUUAUGCUUCAUUUCUUCAUCUCCCUUUUGCUCCUUAUGAGGGUGCCUGGUGUUAAGUAAAGGAGCAUAUCGUGGAAGUUGCCUUUUUAUUGCAGUGCUGUAAACCUUGCUGCCUUGUUUUUGAAGGCCUGCUGAUGGGAUGGAGGCUGCGUUCCGAUGGCUGCUGUGCGAUGGGAUCGGGCGGCAGGAGCCGCGUGAGAUCACUCGGCACCAUCUGACCAUGGGCAGGCAGAGAGGCAGAGUGGGAACAUGGGCACGAAGGAAUGGAGCACCAGCUCUUCCCCUUCCUAUUUCCAACCCUAAGCAUCCCUCCCACACUUUAAAGGGUGACUGCUUUUGUAACAUGGCCUUCCUUGCUGGGGCCACCUUAUGCACUGACAUGUAUAAUCUGAAUUGUGUCUGUGCUGCUCGACAGACCAGUGUUGAAGCUGCGUGUGCCGGAGGAGAAAGGAAAAGUGAAGUGUUACAGAGUGGUCGUGAGGGAGAAAACAGCCUGGGGCCAGCUCUGGUUGUCCACCUCUGUGCUUAGCUUCUUACUGCUGACAGUGGUACCUGUAGGAAAAUAAAUCACAGCACAGAUGUGUCCCUCUCCA